rnacentral:lncRNA from 1 species
GGUCUGCCUACUCUACAGGUAUAGACGCAGUCGCGCGAACUGUACAAGAACUCAUCCAAUCCAUCUGUGCAUUCUUCCCCAGCUGUCGCGGGCUCUUCUGUCCUCACUUUCUCGCUCUGUACUUCUCCGUCCACUGUCGCACGACCUCCCUAGCGCCGCCUCGGCCUUCCUCGCUGCUCUUGUCUCUCCAGGAAGGAACUUCUGAAGCGCAUGCAUCUUCUUCUUCCGCCGCCUCGGCCGCCUUCUCUGCCGCCUCUGCAGCUUCUUCCUCCAUGGCUUCUCUGACAUUCACAUAAGGCCAAGAGGGCACAAGCCAAGCUGAAACGCGUCCCCAGGUUUCCUCCCAGCACGGUGGCACCGAUCCCUCGAGCAUCUAAGUAGUCAGUUUCUCUCGGCGUCGAUCCGAGUCUCUUCGCUGGAGUCAUCCAAAGCAGAAGAAAGAAACUUCGUUGGAAACUCGCAAAAGCCAUGUUCCUACUUCUCUGGCUCAGAGCCGAUGACUCCAGUACGCUGGCACUGAUGACUCUACUGCAUCCAAGUUCGCGUUUCCGUUCGCAUCUAACUUCUUUUCGUCUUCUGGAGAGUUUCUGAGGCCCAACCGCCAAGCGCGUUUCCGACAAGAGAGCAACACACAUGUCCCCUGAAACGUAGAAGUCAUCUCGCUUGCUUCUGCCGGAGUCGCUCUCCUCCCAGAGGAAGCGCAGAGGACCUCUUGCGGAGGGUGACAGACGCGUCAAGAGAAGAAAGGAAUAAAUUCACACAGGAGACGCGUCAGGUGCAUGCCAGAUCGACUUCCGGUGAGAGCGAGGCAACGGCAUUCCAAACAAGCUUCAGCAAAGCCGAAGCGCAUCACAGAAAAGAGUCGAGAAAGGCAAACCGAAAACACGAUGCAGACGCUGAUCAGGUGCGUCUGAAAAAGAGAAAGAUGAAACGGAAACAGGUACCUCUAAAGCCAGGAGACUCGAAAGGCGGAGUGGUUCUCGUCUCCCAUUUCUUUCCUUCGACGCAAAUGCGGAGUGCCUGUCGGCACUCUGUGGCAGCAGUACUCCACCUGUCGAGGACUUCCCCGCGUUCAGUGUCGUAUUCGAGAAGUUGCAGGAGGCUGGGGACUCUGGACGCUGCAUGUUCCAGCAGCGAUUUUCGACUUUCUGUGCGUUUCGAGUCACAUGACCCGAGGUGUGAGACAGUGGAGGUACAUGUCUUCAAGCCUCACCUGAGGAUCUCCUGUAUUGGCCUGCGCAAGGUCCUUCCUCUCUUUUCGCUGGUGGCUCGACGCCCCCCGGUCUCGUCGUCGUAGGCUGCAGAGGAGCCGCAGGUCCUGUCAGUUGGGUGCAGUCUCUGUUGUUCCUCCUGUGGGGUAAGCAUGCGAAGGAAAAAAGGAAUUCCCCCUCCCCGGACGUCGACGGGGAAGACGCGAAUCGACUUCUGAUGGGCAUGCGCACUGCGCGCAGCGGCGACGGCUUUCGAAGACGCGACGGAGGCAGGCCCAUGUUCUUCUCGGCCUGCUUUCCCCUCCUCUCCGGAGGCAGAAGCAGAGUGGGAAGAGAACUCCGCAAGCCCAACCGGAGGAAUGAGAGAGGCGAGCGAGAGGGGAGGGAGAGCAAAAUGUUUGGCGUCCAGAGAAGAACGGUAGACGCGCUCGCGGAGGUCGUGGGGGCUCGCGAAGAACUCGCCGCUGCAGGAGAGAGAGGGAGCUGUGAUCCGCGGCCGAGCAUGUUGGCCUUCGCAUGCGCACCAGUGAGUGACGGACGGGAUUGGUCCCCAGUCAUCGAAUCCGAAGGCGAGAGGGCCGUAGGCAGAGGUCAGGACGGCUUCCGCGUCAGGGUCGUCCGCAUUCAGAGACGAGGAAGAUGACGCCAGGUUCGCCGCCUCCGUCUCCUCGAGGCUCUUGAAGCGUUUGGAGGGAGGCCAAGGCGACGACGCAGGGGAAACCUGGUCGUCUUCUUCUUCGUCGCAGUUAAUCACUUCUACGUGCGUUUCUUGAAAGCGUCGGGCAACAUCCCUGCCCCCGCGUCGCACACUCUGUCUUCCCUGCUGCGACUUCUCACGAGAUUCGUCCGCCCCCCGCUUGCGACUCCCUAUCGACGCAGAAGGAUCCUCUCCAUCCGAGAGCGGUCCCCGUGCGUCAACUCGAUCAGAAGACGAGCAGGAGGAAGAGUGGAGGAAAGGCAAGUUGUCGCAUGCUUCUUCAAAUGUUUCCGCCUCGCGCAGGAGGGCGUCGACGUCGUCAGGGCAGAAGAAAUCAGGGUCCUCCAUGGUGCCGAGAGAAGGAGGCGCCGCCGGGAAAAGGAGAAAAAUGGAAAGGAGAGAAACCGGAGGAAGAACGGAAAAGCUCUGGACGGAGAACAAUGUUCGAGUCCGGAGUCUAAGCUGGAAAGGAAGCGGCGGAGCCUGAGGAGUAGACGAAGGGUCGCAUGCAGAGAUGCCGACAGACAAGGGGAAAGAACAUGGCCUGAGGACAAGAACGGGACUGGAAAGAAACAGAAAAUGUUCAAGGGACCGGCACCAUUCAGCUCGGAUUCACAGCAAGCUGGCGGCGUCUCGCGCGCACCCGUGUGUGUCGGCGGCAAUGCUUUUCGCUGCUUGUCAUUUCGUUUGAGAACUGUGUGCAGACAAGAGAGCGAAAGCUCGCCAAGAAGGAAAAGCAAGCUUCCGAGAAAAUACAGGAAAAGACAGAAAAACGAAACGCAUGUCUGGGGGGAGACCCUCCCGCUUGGGGGGUGUGUUUCUCUCCGCGUUUUUUCCAGAUCGGUGGCUGACCGCGAGAAAAAACGGGCCAGCACACUAGACUGGAUAAGGUCUGCAUGCGCGAGAGGCGGCUGCCGAGACAGAGAAAUUAACCGCGGAAGGAUAAUUGAAAAACACACAGUUGACUCCAGACAUCUCGCCGUCGGGCAUGUGGGAGAAAGGCAAGCAAAGCAACAGGAGAGACCACAACACAAGACAAGCGUGGAUGUCCCAGCAAACGCGGGUCGAUUGUCUCGCCCUGUGCACAUCCGGACGCGACUACAAGGCGUAGAUAACAAUUGAAUUGAGAGGUUGAUAUCUUCUAGUGUUUUCUGGCUAUGCCAAACUGUAUAUAUUCAAGAACAGACUGACAGGCAUAUCAUUGUAGAGAAAUUCCGGAGGUGAUUUCUCGGGGAGGGGGGGGGGGCAGGUAUUUUUACACAGUCCGUAAAGGAAAGAUAAGCAGUUCCGUUGUACGACAUGAUUUGAUUAGUGGUGCGCCUUCCAUUUCCC